rnacentral:sRNA from 1 species
CCUUAUGUAUAACUUCUCCGAAACACCC